CUAGCCUCAUCAAUUUAGCGAGACCCUACCUCAAAAAAAAAAAAAAAAAAAAAAAAGGACUGGGGAUGCAGCUCAUGGUAAAGCACCCCUGGGUUCAAUUCCCCCCAGUACUAAACUACUCUGCCACCCAUCCCCAACCCACCCCUGGGGGGUGGCGGGGGGAAAUCAUCAUGGAGUUAAGUCCUUGAAUUUAGUAAAGGAUUCUUUCUUUUCCUUUUUCCUCCCCCUCCCCCCCACCGUGCUGGGGAUUGAAUCCAAUAGUAUUCUACUACUAAGUUACACCCCCAGCCUUUUAAUUGUUUUUACUUUAUUUUGAGACAGGGUCUUGUUGAGUUGCCCAGGCUAGCCUUGAACUUGCAAUCCCCCUGAGUAGCUAGUGAAAGAUUCUUAGAUGUGAAAACAAAAGCACCAGCUUCUAAAAGAAAAUCAACCUACAAACUGGACUUCAUCAAAAGUUAAAACAUUUGUGUUUCAAGAGAUACCAUGAAGAGAAAAGUGAAAGUGAAAAAAAACCUAAGGAAUAAGAAAAAUACCUGCAAAUCACAUAACUGAUAUGAGAUCUGCAUCUACUGUAAUGAAUUUUUAAACUCAAUAACUAACAAAUGGCCCAACUUUUAAAAAAUGGACUAAGAAUAAUGAGUAGACAUUUUCCAAAGAAGAAACACAAAUGGCCAAAAAACACAUGAAAAGAUGUUUAACAUCAUUGUCACAAGGGAAAUGGAAAUCAAAACCACAAGGGACUACCACUUCAUACCCACUACAAUAGCCAAAAUUAAAAGUCAGAUAACACAUAUUGGCAAAGAAGAAGAGAAAUUGGAGCUCUCAUAUACUGUUGAUAGGAAUGGAAAAUUGUAUUGCUACUUUGGAAAACAGCCUGGCAGUUCCUCAAAUCAUUAAACAUCUAGUUCCCACGUGACCCAGAAGUUCUAGGUAUACAUUCAAGAGAAAUAAAAAUAUGUUCACACAGAAAUUUGUGCACAAAUGAUUAUUGCAAUAUUCAGAAUCACCAGAAGAUGAAAACAACCCAAAUGUUUUUUUUUUUUUUAAGAGAGAGUGAGAGAGGAGAGAGAGAAUUUUUUUUUUAAUAUUUUUUUUUUAGUUUUCGGUAGACACAACAUCUUUGUUUGUAUGUGGUGCUGAGGAUCAAACCCGGGCCACACGCAUGCCAGGCCAGCGCGCUACCGCUUGAGCCACAUCCCCAGCCCAACCCAAAUGUUUAUCAACAGACAAAUACAUAAAUUAAAAUGUGAUAUAUACAUAUCAUGGUAUAUUGUUUGACCACAAGAAAACAAUUAAGUACUGAUACAUGCUGCAACAUGAAUGAAUCUGAAAGAAAAGUGGAAGAAGCCAGUCAUAAAAAUCAUAUAUUCUAUGAUUGCAUUCAUAUGAACUCGUAGAAGAGAUCUGUAUAAAUGGAAAGGGAAUUUUAUACAGGCAAAAGUAGAUUAGUGGUUGCUUAAAGCAGAGGUGUAUGCACUCUAAAUGAAAAUGUUCUAAAAUUGACUGUUGAUGGUUGUUAUACUAAAAACCAGUGACUUGUAUACCUUUAAUGAGUAAAUUGUACAGUAUGUGAAUUAUGUUUCAAUAAAG
rnacentral:lncRNA from 1 species